rnacentral:snRNA from 1 species
GCACUCUUGUUUCUCUUCAGAUUGUAUAAAUCUUUCGCCUUUUACUAAAGAUUUCCGUGGGGAGGAACAACAAGAGUUUGAUUCAAUUUUUUGAUGCCCUGCAGUAUUAGGGCC